UCUAAUUCAGACCAGUGAUUGUGAAUCUGUGAUGCAUCCUGAUAUGUAUUAGUACGAAAUAAUGCUUCACAAAGCUUGCGAAUUUUGUGCAUGCAACUGAUGAAGUAUUGCUAUUGGUAUUAGCUGCCGUACUUUUUAUUUGGGCAUUCAUGAGCUUUAUUCCUGGGAAGAUGCUCAAUGGUGUAUCUGCAGUGGUACCAGUAGUACACCAGAGUCAAUUGAGGAGUUGUGAUGUCAUGGGAUGUCGAAGUCUUUAAGGCAAGUGGUGUAUUGACACGCCUGAUUGCAAAUAGCAAGAACCUCUCUUUUAAAGCUUAUGUUUAUGUUAGGGGCAUUGUGUCUGUUUUGUUGUAGUUCCACACUCCAUAGAGGAUGGAUUACAAUUCAUGUUCCCCCUUUGGGGAUGCCUGAGUCUUUCUAAGAUGUUAUAUAUAGUGGGUUAAUGUUUACAAUGCGAAAGAGCUAGACAUUGAUAGUGAGGGAUCUAUAUCUCAGUAUACAUGUACUAGCUGCUAUAUAUGCU